rnacentral:rRNA from 1 species
GACGAACGCUGGCGGCGUGCUUAACACAUGCAAGUCGAACGGAAAGGCCCUGCUUUUGUGGGGUGCUCGAGUGGCGAACGGGUGAGUAACACGUGAGUAACCUGCCCUUGACUUUGGGAUAACUUCAGGAAACUGGGGCUAAUACCGGAUAGGAGCUCCUGCUGCAUGGUGGGGGUUGGAAAGUUUCGGCGGUUGGGGAUGGACUCGCGGCUUAUCAGCUUGUUGGUGGGGUAGUGGCUUACCAAGGCUUUGACGGUUAGCCGGCCUGAGAGGGUGACCGGCCACAUUGGGACUGAGAUACGGCCCAGACUCCUACGGGAGGCAGCAGUGGGGAAUAUUGCACAAUGGCGGAAGCCUGAUGCAGCAACGCCGCGUGCGGGAUGACGGCCUUCGGGUUGUAAACCGCUUUCGCCUGUGACGAAGCGUGAGUGACGGUAAUGGGUAAAGAAGCACCGGCUAACUACGUG